UACGGGGGGGGCAAGCGUUGUUCGGAAUUACUGGGCGUAAAGGGCUCGUAGGCGGCCAACUAAGUCAGACGUGAAAUCCCUCAGCUUAACUGGGGAACUGCGUCUGAUACUGGAUGGCUUGAGUUCGGGAGAGGGAAGUGGAAUUCCCGGUGUAGUGGUGAAAUGCGUAGAUAUCGGGAGGAACACCAGUGGCGAAGGCGACUUCCUGGCCUGUUCUUGACGCUGAGGCGCGAAAGCUAGGGUAGCAAACGGG
rnacentral:rRNA from 1 species